CCUACGGGAGGCAGCAGUGAGGAAUAUUGGUCAAUGGACGGAAGUCUGAACCAGCCAUGCCGCGUGCAGGAAGACGGCUCUAUGAGUUGUAAACUGCUUUUGUACAAGGGUAAACCUGAAUACGUGUAUUCAGCUGAAAGUACUUUACGAAUAAGGAUCGGCUAACUCCGUGCCAGCAGCCGCGGUAAUACGGAGGAUCCAAGCGUUAUCCGGAUUUAUUGGGUUUAAAGGGUGCGUAGGCGGAUUGAUAAGUUAGAGGUGAAAUGUUCGGGCUUAACCCGGGAACUGCAACUAAUACUGUUGAACUAGAGAGUAGAUGCGGUAGGCGGAAUGUGUGGUGUAGCGGUGAAAUGCUUAGAGAUCAUACAGAACACCGAUUGCGAAGGCAGCUUACCAAUCUAUAUCUGACGUUGAGGCACGAAAGUGUGGGGAGCAAACAGGAUUAGAUACCCUUGUAGUC
rnacentral:rRNA from 1 species